rnacentral:rRNA from 1 species
ACUCCUACGGGAGGCAGCAGUGGGGGAAUAUUGCACAAUGGGCGCAAGCCUGAUGCAGCAACGCCGCGUGAGCGAUGAAGGCCUUCGGGUCGUAAAGCUCUGUCCUCAAGGAAGAAUAAAUGACGGUACUUGAGGAGGAAGCCCCGGCUAACUACGUGCCAGCAGCCGCGGUAAUACGUAGGGGGCAAGCGUUAUCCGGAAUCACUGGGGCGUAAAGGGGUGCGUAGGCGGUUUUCAAGUCAGAAGUGAAAGGCUAUGGCUCAACCAUAGUAAGCUUUUGAAACUGUUAAACUUGAGUGCAGGAGAGGAAAGUGGAAUUCCUAGUGUAGAGGUGAAAUUCGUAGAUAUUAGGAGGAACACCAGUGGCGAAGGCGACUUUCUGGCUGUAACUGACGCUGAGGCACGAAAGCGUGGGGAGGCGAACAGGAUUAGAUACCCUGGUACGCGACAGAG